UCUUUUAAAGGAGAAGAGGCAGCCGAGGUGAAGGGGCUGAAGAUGGCGGGGCGGGAAGGUGAAGUGGGGCCGCAUCUCUGCUCCGGCUGCAUCUCUGCUCGGGCUCUUAACACAAAACGCUUCCUUUCCAGGGUAGUUCUUCCUAGAAAGUCCCCCUGUGACCCGAGCCACUGGUGUCACAGCUCCAGCAGGAACAAACCAGCUCUGGAGGGCUGGGCAGGACUGGUUCCAGCACCCACACGUGGAAGAUUUUGCUGGUACAUUUGAGACCAACCAACUCCUGAAUGUGAAAGAAAGGCGGCUCAGCCACAAGGAGAGUGGAAGAGAGCUGGAAUACCAUGCGGCGACUGGAAAAGUUACAAGAAAACUACAUGGAAUCCCACUAACCACUCUUACUUGUGACGUGCACUGGGCCUUUCUGGUGAGUACAAUAAGGAUUGUUACGAGUGAUAUCUGUUGUGUGAGGUGUGUGGCGUCAUGCUAAGCAUCUAUGUGGGUAAAUUCAAUCCUCUGAACAGCCUUUACGGUAGAAGCGAUUAUUUCCCCUCCUACAGGUGAGCAUGUGCAGAGAGAGAAAGGAGGAUGCAGUGGGAUCCUUGACUGGCCACCUGUUCGGGCUGGGCGCCCUGGGCAACUUAGUCUCGGGAAGCCCUAGCUUCCUCUGGGAGAAUGAGCAGGAUCACUGUUUACAAAAUUAUUAGGAAUAUUAAAUGAUGUGUGUGCAGGAGCCUAAUGCAUGCUGGGUACUUUUUAAAGAAAACCAUCAUAAAAUGUGAACAGUGGCUCAGUUGUUGGCUCCACAUAGAUAUUGCGAUCUGAGCUUGUUCUUUCUCCCCAGAGCAGGAUGAAGACUUGCACCACAGAAGCAGGAACCCCUGUGAACGUCUCCUACCAGGUAGGUACCACGUAGAUGUGUGAUGCAGCCUACUGUUAAAAAGUGUGUGUGUGUGUGUGUGGCGGGGGGCAGUAGUAGCAGAGACAGUGGCCCGAACCAUGGUUCAGUGAAGGCUGACAUUCCAACUUGGAGUGGAAGCCAAGAAACCUCAUCCCUACAUGAAGUGUGGCCCACAUGCCACCAGUUUGUGACCCUGGGGACUCUGGUUUAAAGAUGCUAGCUUAUGGAGUUCCCAUGGUGGCUACCUUGUCUCUGUGAGCAUGUGGGUUCAAUCCCUGGCCUGGCUCAGUGGGUUAAGGAUCCGAUGUUGCCGUAAGCUGUGGCAUAGGUCACAGAUGCAGCUUGGACCUGCUGUGGCUCUGGUGGAGCCGGCAGCUGUAGCUCUGAUUCGACCCCCAGCCCUGGAAACUCCCAUAUGCCACCUGUGUGGUUAAAAAACAAAAAAUCUAAAUUCUCUCUGCCUCUUACUUAUUAUAUGACUUUGGCAAAGUCACUUUAGGUUCACUUAAGUGGAACUAAACCCUGGCCCACAGCUCAAGAGGCAGUGCUACAGUUGUCUGGCUAAACUGUGUCAAUGCUCAUGCGUUUUUCUCAGCUCAAUAAUUCCUGUUUGUACGUGAGCAGAUGGCGAGGGCUGUGCUAAGAUGACAGGGCAGCGGGUAGUGGGGCUCGGGGAGUUUACUUUGGCACAGAUCCCAGGGUGCUGUGGGAGACACUGAUUCAUGUGCGUCCCUCAUGAGGUGAGGCCAGGACAACCCUGCUUGUCUGCAGGUGUGUGGCGAGGUGGAAGCCCAGGGGGAGGGGGUUCAUCUCACAGAUGCGUCCCUGAGAGGAUCUCCAAGGCCCUUCCAGGCCAUCCUGCCAUCUCCCUGCUCCAGAACAAACAGCCGUCACUGUACUGGUGUAGCCAAAACAUUGCUGGUAUUUAUUGAAAAGGCAGAACGUGCUGCAUCCGUAGAGAUCCAGCUCCCACAGUUCUCCAGACAUGGGCUGCACGUCACCCUUAGGCUUGUCAUUCCCUCGGGUGGCAGCAAAACUGCUGUAGUGACACGUCCCCAGGAAGAAUAAGCUAGAAGACGCGCCUUGUGUUCUACACGCUAUGAAGGAUUCGGUGAUAAAGUGCUGGCAGAAGCUUGGCUAGGAAGGGCCCUGAGCAGAAGUCCCCAUGCUGGGCAGUCCAGGGCAUUGAUGUCUCCCCUGUGGCCAUCACCUGCCACCAAGACUCAGGUAACAUAAGGCUUAUGCCCCUGACAGGCUGCCAGAGCCACGGGGACGUGGUUUUUCUAAAGGCAGUAAGGCAGUGGAUAGACAUGUGACACUGGCAUUGCCAAUGGGAGGAGGGCGGGAUCAGGCCCUGCGGUGUCUGGGGGAGUGGGGUGGGGUGUCCAUGGAGAGCAUGCCCUGCUGAGGGGCCAGCAGCUUCCACCUGGACCAGCCGGGAAGAGAAAUUGGUUGGAUUGGAGGAUAACCAAGAGGUGGUCCCUGAAAUGACUUCUUCGUCCCACAACUGGGCUCCAUCCCGUGUGGCUAAGCCAAGGGCUCAGGUGUCGUCAGUACCUUUUACUCGCAAUACUGUGUCUAAAGUUUUCUUUCCAAUGACGAUGAAGUGAUUACACACAGGAUCUGAUGCAGUGAGAAGUGGGCUGAUGUGCAGACACUACCCCAGGGUCUGGGCAGUCCUGGUGAGUGGGAAAUACCUUCCUAAAGCAGCCAAGGCCAGACCACCGGCACCAAGGCCUUUGGGACCCCAGAUGGGGAUGAGGCGAGGUCACCUGCUCCUAGGAGGUAAGGAAGUAUCUUUGCACAACUGAAGUUCACAGCGUAUUGGGUCAGCUUGCCUCAAAUUCAGAGAAGUUGGAAGCAAUUACUGCACAAACCGUAAGCUAGAAUUUAGCAGUGGCUGAAAUACUGUUCAGGCUCUUUCAACUUAGGAACGUGGUUUGAUGAGACAUGACAGGCCCAUAAAGGCAAUUCCUGAAGCCUCUGCAAGUCUGGGGAGCUGAUGCUGGAAAUCCCACAUAAUUCAUCUUGUUUAAUUACCUGCCACCCCAUUCCCAACUCCAUUCCCAGAACUGUAAUAAGCUCAUUAAGUCUUAAUGACACCAGAAGGUUCCUUGACUUGCUUCCAAUCAUUCCUCCAAACUAAUGGUUGUCCUGCAGCUCUGAGCUGAGACCACACUGCCUUUCUUCAGAAAUCAAGGCCAAAGGCCUUGGGUUCUUUUACCUCUAGAGAUUCUAAAGUGUUCUUUCCCUAAUAAGUGUACUUUCCAGGCUGCUUCUGGAAGCUGAGGACAGUCCCCAUGGCACCAAGGACAGAUCUAGGAGCAGGCCAGGGAGGGACAGGAAGCCUGCAGCCAAGGAGACAGUGAGACUUGGAAACCAACUAGAUGCUACCGAAUGCAGAAUAAAAAUAUCAUCUACAGGAGUUCUUGAACUAUGGGCACGUACAAACCCGG
rnacentral:lncRNA from 1 species